rnacentral:rRNA from 1 species
CCUACGGGGCGCUGCAGUGGGGAAUAUUGGACAAUGGGCGAAAGCCUGAUCCAGCCAUGCCGCGUGUGUGAAGAAGGCCUUCGGGUUGUAAAGCACUUUCAGUGGGGAAGAAAGCCUUGGGGCUAAUACCCUCGAGGAAGGACAUCACCCACAGAAGAAGCACCGGCUAACUCCGUGCCAGCAGCCGCGGUAAUACGGAGGGUGCGAGCGUUAAUCGGAAUUACUGGGCGUAAAGCGCGCGUAGGCGGUCUGAUAAGCCGGUUGUGAAGCCCCGGGCUCAACCUGGGAACGGCAUCCGGAACUGUCAGGCUAGAGUGCAGGAGAGGAAGGUAGAAUUCCCGGUGUAGCGGUGAAAUGCGUAGAGAUCGGGAGGAAUACCAGUGGCGAAGGCGGCCUUCUGGACUGACACUGACGCUGAGGUGCGAAAGCGUGGGUAGCAAACAGGAUUAGAUACCCCAGUAGUC